UUUAUGGAGAGUUUGAUCCUGGCUCAGGAUGAACGCUGGCGGCGUGCCUAAUACAUGCAAGUCGAGCGAACAGACGAGGAGCUUGCUCCUCUGACGUUAGCGGCGGACGGGUGAGUAACACGUGGAUAACCUACCUAUAAGACUGGGAUAACUUCGGGAAACCGGAGCUAAUACCGGAUAAUAUAUUGAACCGCAUGGUUCAAUAGUGAAAGACGGUUUUGCUGUCACUUAUAGAUGGAUCCGCGCCGCAUUAGCUAGUUGGUA
rnacentral:rRNA from 1 species